rnacentral:lncRNA from 1 species
AAGCUGUAGAAGAUCUGAAGUAAACAAGAUGACUUCAAGACAAUGAAGACUAAUGAAGUAGAAUGUCAGAAACCCACUGUGAAGGAAACUGAAAUUAACACAGCCCUUCCCACACAUUUCUUUGAGAAAAGAGAAGAAAAACUUCCUUACAAAUCAUUUUGAGGAUUUAUGAAAAAUUUACAAAUAGAGGUUCAAGAAAUGGACUUCCUUCAGUCGUCUGAAGGUUUGAAUCUU